AAAAUUUUUGCAGAGCCUCCCAGACUCUGGUUCUGCAGGAAGAUGAUGUCUUUUCCCAAAGGAUAUAUACAGGCUACAGCAAGCUAAGUACUUGUCGUACGGAUGACUCAGGUAAAACUGAAGGAAUCGAGAAGCAAACUCGCGCUGAAUUCAAGAAUGGAGGUUCUUUGCUCGGUACAUGAAGUCCUGUUUUUACUUCUACAGCAUAGUGAUAAAUG
rnacentral:misc_RNA from 1 species